rnacentral:lncRNA from 10 species
GGCAAACUCUGGUGCAGAUUAGAAUCACCUGGGGAGCACUUAAAACUCCCAGGGCUCAGGCCACAUCCCAGACCAAUUAAAUGAAAAACACUGGAGGGAGAUGAAGCGGUGAUGUCUGCACCAGUUUUUAAAAGUCAAAUAAGAUAUUUCCAGGAAGACACAGUAAGAAGGCAUUUCUGGCAGAGGGAAGAGUCCACAAAGGCACAGAAGCAUGAAACAGCUCUGUAUUUUGGAGUCCCAUGUGGAUGUCAGUGUGAUGAUUAGGAUGCCUGAUGCUUCCGAAACAAGAAUACACUUUACGAAAAUGCCCAUUGAAAAUACUUUUUCCUUUCUACUCUUGUGCUAAGAGUGCCUGUUUGGACCCCAUGGCUUCGUAAUGCAAUGGCUUUUACCCUUGUCCCACGGCCCCCCUGCCCAACUCAAGAAGGUGAUGAAAUAGGCUGCAGAAGUUCCCAGCCAGGGUAUUGUGAAGAUGAAAGCAAAGAUAUGGCAAGAGCUCAGAAGAGUACCUGGCCCAUAAGAAAAUGCCAGUGUUGGAGAAAAUGGGAGAGGAAGCUGGAAAAGCCUGGGGGAGUUAUCAUCAGUGAUACAUGUCUGACCCCAGGCCUUCUCUAGAAGAAUGGCAAAAGGAAGUUCUUUAAACAGAAAGGAAAUAAUAAAAUAUGGACCUUCGAAUGUUAGGAAGAAAGAGAAAAUAUGAGAAAUGUUUAUUUAUAAAAUGUGUGCAAUGAGCAAAAAUAUGGUUAAAGACAAUGGAUUGCUUCUUU